CCCCCUCAACCUUAUUGUGGUCAAAGGGAAAUGUUUCCCGUUCAUUUACUUUUCAUUGGCCAAAAGAGGAGUGCAGUACGACGCCAAUUCAGGAGGCAGUAAAUUGAAGAUUAUUUGGUGCACUGGGUAAAUGUCAAGAAAGUGGUUGAGAAGUACUUUUCAGAGCUAUGUUCAUACAGCAACAAGUUGUCUCAAAAUAGAAAACUUUGCAACAUAAAA